CCGCCUUUAAAAAAAUAUUAUUUUCAUGACACAAAAUCUAAUAAUGCAUUUCCCACUUCCAUGAAUAAUUCUAAUUUCUAGAUUCAUUUAUUACGAUCAAUUUUCCAUUCCUAAAUGAAAAACGAAGAAAAACAAAAGUUUCGGUUACGUUUGGAUUUCUGUUUACGUUCUCAAACCCCCCACGCUGCGCGCACCUUUAGCUCAACGCAGUAAGGUGUUUUUUGUACAAGUAUUACUACGCCAUUUUUAUUUCAGUCGUUGGGAAACACUCUUACGUUGCAUAAAUGAUUUACGUACUUUAAUUUUAUUAAUUAAUACGAUAUUUUGUAUUUAUAUUUAUUAAAAUGUUUCGUAAAUUCGAUUUAAAAUAAUAUUACGUUCGAUUAUUCGGUAAUAUCGUCGCGAAAGUGUUUGAUUUCUCGGAACUAUGUUUUUGUAAUUGUGAUCGAGUCGUUUACGACCAUUUUGAAUUCUUGUCGACACUUGUAAGGUAGUCUCCCACUUUUCCGUUAAUAAUUCUAGUUAUUCGCGAUAUUUUGUUGAUAUUUUUAGCCUUUUCGGUAAUUUUUUGCAGUUCAAUGUGCCUCGAAGUGACGUAAAGUAAUAUACGAUUCGAUCUUUUCUCUUUGUCGGUGUUUUUAGUUAAAGAAGUGCGUACGUACAGGUAUUCGUUUGCAGCUGCGACGGUUUGUUUUUCACGACUUUUUUCUCGUAAAUUUCAUCGGAUUUUCUAAUGCUUAACAAGUGAUUCGAUUUAAAUACGGUAUCGGUGACCUACGUAUUGUUUUCGCGUAUUCUAGUUUCCGGUGUGUUCUUUGAUUUCGUAAUAUUCGAUGCGUACGUGUUUUCCGGCGUCCAGUGGUCUACCAGUUCACACCUGUUUCACAUUUAUUUCCAGAUUUUCUUCGUUUAAUCGAUUCAAUCAUAAAGUGUUUCGAUGGGCACGAGUGUCGAAUUGUUACAUUUUUUGGUGGAUUCUUGCGACAUCAUGACUGUUAUCAUGAUUUUUAUACGAGAAUCAUUCAGGAACUGUUUUCCACCCAACAACAUGACUGAUUCGGACUCCUGGAAAAUUCAAACACAUAUCAUGCUAUUGAAAAUCUCAAGAUACCAAUCAAGGUUCUCAUCGUAGCAAGUUCCAACUAUGAACUAUGCCCACAAAGAAUCAUUUUGACUCAGUGAUCUGAACAUACGAAUCCAACAUUUUAAAAUAUGAUUAUUUAGAAGAAAGCUGCGAAAUGUAAUAAUUUGGCAAGUUCCUGCUCAUUUGAUAGAAUUACGACUUACGAGAUAAAUUUGAAGACAAAUUAAACGAACAACAAUCGUUGGUAUCAUACUACCUACCUACUUAUCUGUCUAUCGUUCUUGUCAAAAUGUGUUAUUCUCAUCUCGCGAAACAUGUGAAGGAAAAAUUCAAGUAGAAAAUUUUAUCGAAGAAGUACAUUCUACUUACUUACGAAAAUUAGAUAUAGGUAGAUCAAACGUACCUACUCAUAAAACGUGAUCAAGUUCUCUUGUUUAUCUCGAAAUGCGAAUUCGUAGCGUAGCUGAGAGCAGAACAAAGGUGUCUGAUACCUCCGGGAUAAGUGGCACCUAUGGAAACAGUUGACAGGGUCAAUUUUUGGGGAAAGAAUAUUUUUAAAAACGUGGAUAUUCGGUACAAAUUGCGUAUUCAAAAUGCCACAAAUAUUUACCAACAUAUUAUUACUCAUCUUAUUGGACAAUGGACAUCAUAUUUCUACCAUAAAGUACCAUCAUACUCUGGAAUCGGACGAUGUAAUCAUUUUUAUUUUAUGAAAUGUUGACAUUAUUGUUAUAAGUACUUUACUUAAUUUGAAAAUGUAUUUUGUAAUUUAUUUUGUCGUGCCCAAAUAAUUCUGUGUGGCAUUAUGUAUCUAAACAUAUGAAAUGCAUAUUACGUACCUUAAGUUAACUUGUAAGAGUAUCCGGAUACUUGGGUAGAUUUAAGCAGUAGGUUAAGUUGGUAAUUAACGUACUUACCUAUUUAUAUGAUGUAUUCUUGAUUGCAUUCAUUAUUUUUCAUGUCAUGUUCAAUUGUAAUUGUAUAA